rnacentral:rRNA from 1 species
CACUGUCACUCCUACGGGAGCAGCAGUGGGGAAUAUUGCACAAUGGGCGCAAGCCUGAUGCAGCCAUGCCGCGUGUGUGAAGAAGGCCUUCGGGUUGUAAAGCACUUUCAGUCGUGAGGAAGGCGGGUACGUUAAUAGCGUAUUCGUUUGACGUUAGCGACAGAAGAAGCACCGGCUAACUCCGUGCCAGCAGCCGCGGUAAUACGGAGGGUGCGAGCGUUAAUCGGAAUUACUGGGCGUAAAGCGCAUGCAGGUGGUUUGUUAAGUCAGAUGUGAAAGCCCCGGGGCUCAACCUCGGAAUAGCAUUUGAAACUGGCAGACUAGAGUACUGUAGAGGGGGUAGAAUUUCAGGUGUAGCGGUGAAAUGCGUAGAGAUCUGAAGGAAUACCGGUGGCGAAGGCGGCCCCCUGGACAGAUACUGACACUCAGAUGCGAAAGCGUGGGGAGCAAACAGGAUUAGAUACCCUGGUAG